rnacentral:lncRNA from 1 species
AUGAUGCAUGUCAAUGUCCUGGCUGAUGCUCUCAAGAGCAUCACCAAAGCCAAAAAGAGGCAAACGCCAGGUUCUUAUUAGGCCAUGCUCCAAAGUCAUCAUCUGGUUUCUAACUGAUGACAAAGCAUAGUUACGUUGGCAAAUCUGAAAUCACUGAUGAUCACAGAGCUGGGAAAAUUGUUGUGAACCUCACAGGCAGGUUAAACAAGUGGGGAGUGAACAGCCCCAGUCUGAUGUGCAAUUUGAAGAUCUAGAAAAAUGGCAGAAUAAUCUGCUCCCAUUCCAUCAGUUUGGUUUCACUGUACUGACAACCUCAGCUGGCAUCAUGGCCAUCAUGGCCUGUGAAGAAGUAAGAUGAAAAUACACAGGUGGGAAAAUCCUGGGAUUAUUUUUCUAG